UGGGGAAUAUUGGACAAUGGGGGAAACCCUGAUCCAGCGACGCCGCGUGAAUGAUGAAGGUUUUCGGAUUGUAAAGUUCUUUUGUUAGGGAAGAUAAUGACGGUACCUAACGAAUAAGCCCCGGCUAACUUCGUGCCAGCAGCCGCGGUAAUACGAAGGGGGCUAGCGUUGUUCGGAAUGACUGGGCGUAAAGGGCGCGUAGGUGGUUUACUUUGUCUGGUGUGAAAGUCAAGGGCUUAACCUUUGGAUUGCAUUGGAAACGGGUAGACUGGAGUGCGGAAGAGGAGCGUAGAAUUGCUUGUGUAGAGGUGAAAUUCGUAGAUAUAAGCAAGAAUACCAAAGGCGAAGGCAUUGCUCUGGUCCGCAACUGACACUAAGGCGCGAAAGCGUGGGGAGCAAA
rnacentral:rRNA from 1 species